AAAGCUCAAAUUUAAAAUCUGGCUGUCUUAGGCAGUCCGAGUUGUAAUCUGAAGAAGUGUUUUCUGCGCUGGACCGUGUACAAGUCUCUUGGAACAGAGCGUCAUAGAGGGUGAGAAUCCCGUCUUUGACACGGACUACCAGGGCUAUAUGAUACACUCUCAAAGAGUCGAGUUGUUUGGGAAUGCAGCUCAAAAUGGGUGGUAAAUUCCAUCUAAAGCUAAAUAUAGGCGAGAGACCGAUAGCGAA
rnacentral:rRNA from 1 species